rnacentral:rRNA from 1 species
CAGCCGCCGCGGGAAUACGGAGGGUGCAAGCGUUAAUCGGAAUUACUGGGCGUAAAGCGCACGCAGGCGGUCUGACAAGUCAGAUGUGAAAUCCCCGGGCUUAACCUGGGAACUGCAUUUGAAACUGUCAGGCUGGAGUCUUGUAGAGGGGGGUAGAAUUCCAGGUGUAGCGGUGAAAUGCGUAGAGAUCUGGAGGAAUACCGGUGGCGAAGGCGGCCCCCUGGACAGAGACUGACGCUCAGGUGCGAAAGCGUGGGGAGCAAACAGGAUUAGAUACCCCUGUAGUCCCUGUCUCUUAUAA